AUUGAACGCUGGCGGCAGGCCUAACACAUGCAAGUCGAGCGAGCGGCGGACGGGUGGGUAAUUUAUGAGAACGUGCCUGACGUAGGGGGCAAACUACUGGAAACGGUGGCUAAUACCGCAAACCACCAGAUGUGCCCACAGGGGAUUAGCUAGCAGGUGAGGUAAUGGCUCACAUAGGCGACGAUCCCUAGCUGGUCUGAGAGGCUGACCGGCAACACUGGGAUUGAGACACGGCCCAGACUCCUACGGGAGGCAGCAGUGGGGAAUAUUGCGCAAUGGGCGCAAGCCUGACGCAGCCAUGCCGCGUGAAUGAAGAAGGCCUUCGGGUUGUAAAGUUCUGUCGGUAGAGAGGCGUUAACUACAGAAGAAGCACCGGCUAACUCCGUGCCAGCAGCCGCGGUAAUUC
rnacentral:rRNA from 1 species